rnacentral:rRNA from 1 species
UUCCGGUUGAUCCUGCCGGACCCCACUGCUAUCGAGAUGGGACUAAGGUAUGCUAGUCGAACGACCAGAACUAUGUCUGGAAGUGGCACACUGCUCAGUAACACGUAGCUAACCUACCCUUAGGACGUGGAUACCCCCGAGAAAUUGGGGUUAAUCCGCGAUAGGUGUAAUGUCCUGGAAUGGUAUUACGCCUAAAGGUGUAUCAUACAUGUUUGAUAUACGCCUAAGGAUGGGGCUGCGGCCGAUCAGGCUGUUGGUGAGGUAAUGGCUCACCAAACCUUUGACCGGUACGGGCCAUGAGAGUGGUAGCCCGGAGAUGGACACUGAGACAAGGGUCCAGGCCCUAAGGGGCGCAGCAACCGCGAAACCUCCACAAUGCACUCACGUGCGAUGGGGCUAUCUCGAGUGCCACCUGAUGAAGGUGGCUUUUCCUAGGUCUUCAAAGCCUUGGGAAUAAGAGGGGGGCAAGACUGGUGUCAGCCGCCGCGGUAACACCAGCCCCUCGAGUGGUGGGGAUGAUUAUUUGGCCUAAAGCGUCCGUAGCCGGCCGAGCAAGUCUUCCGUUAAAUCCAGCGUCUCAAGCGUUGGACUGCGGGAGAUACUACAUGGCUAGAGAGUGGGAGAGGUCAGCGGUAUUCUGGGGGUAGGGGCGAAAUCCUUUGAUCCCCGGAGGACCACCAGUGGCGAAGGCUGCUGACUAGAACACGUCUGACGGUCAGGGACGAAAGCUGGGGUAGCGAACCGGAUUAGAUACCCGGGUAGUCCCAGCCGUAAACGAUGCAUGCUAGGUGUUGG